rnacentral:rRNA from 1 species
UACGAACCGUGCGAACGUUGUUCGGAAUCACUGGGCUUAAAGGGCGCGUAGGCGGUCUGCCAAGUCCGGGGUGAAAGCCCCCAGCUCAACUGGGGAAGUGCCUUGGAUACUGGCGGACUCGAGGGAGGCAGGGGUUGUGGGAACUUCCGGUGGAGCGGUGAAAUGCGUUGAUAUCGGAAGGAACGCCGGUGGCGAAAGCGCACAACUGGUCCUCUUCUGACGCUGAGGAGCGAAAGCGUGGGGAGCGAACAGG